rnacentral:rRNA from 1 species
CGUCAAGUCAUCAUGGCCCUUACGACCAGGGCUACACACGUGCUACAAUGGUAGGUACAGAGGGUUGCUACACAGCGAUGUGAUGCUAAUCUCAAAAAGCCUAUCGUAGUCCGGAUUGGAGUCUGCAACUCGACUCCAUGAAGUCGGAAUCGCUAGUAAUCGCAGAUCAGAAUGCUGCGGUGAAUACGUUCCCGGGCCUUGUACACACCGCCCGUCACACCAUGGGAGUCUAUUGCACCAGAAGUAGGUAGCCUAACGCAAGAGGGCGCUUACCACGGUGUGGUCGAUGACUGGGGUGAAGUCGUAACAAGGUAGCCGUAGGGGAACCUGCGGCUGGAUCACCUCCUUAA